rnacentral:ncRNA from 1 species
CAGGUUCCGGUUCACGUCCGCCCCAAGGCGGGCGACCCGGCGGCC